GAAUUCUUAUUAUAUUAUUUAUUUGGAUUUCUUAAUUUAAAAAUUGUUAAAUACAAUCUAAAACGUUCUUAUCGUGAAAAGAAAAAUUUUACUAGUACACUAUUAUUUACUACACAACCGAUAAGAAUUAACGAAUAAUCAAUAAUUCUGAUGAGAACAAUAACAUUAUAAUAAUCUUAAAAUACAAAGAUCGCUGGUUUUUAAAGAACAAUUCGAGAUGAGAAAAAUGCAAGAUCUCAUUAGCAAUAGAAGGGGAAGAUGAACACUUUCAUAUAUGAAUUCCACUCGUGGUAACAAUCUCUUAGGAUGGUAUGAUCAUUACCAACUUUCUCUACUGGCCGACUUUUUCCUCUCUUUACUACUACGUAUCCGCCAAUGAUCCUCGAACGAAUGCUUUCGCUCAAAACCAAUACUUUUCUUAUCCUCUUAGUGUAAAAUGUUGAAGACACUUCCCCCAUUGUACGUAAUUAAAUGAAACAAUGAUUCCCCUUUUUUAUUUAAUUUAAUUUUUUAAAGUAUUUAUGAAUGUCUACGUAUCUCGAGGGAAUUACAAUUUUGUUUUUUUUCUUUAAAAAAUUAUAGUUGUGAAUAUCAUUCUUUAUUUUCCUUUCUAUUAUUUUUCCUUACAAAAAUAUAAUACAAAAAGCAUAAUUAUAAAAAUUUCUUCGUUAUAAGCUUCAAAAAUUUAGAUAUUUUUUAUAAUUUACGAAAAAGUUAAGAAAUACGAGUUAAAAAGUAAAUUUCAAUUUUCAAGCACGAAUUAAUUUAUAUUUUUUCUAAUUAAUAAUAUUAUUUACUCUUUCUUUUUUUUAAAUUAAAUAAUUAAUCGUCAUUUUAUUUAUUCAUUAGACUUAAAGAAAGAAUAAAUUUCUAUGGAAUCUAGUAGAAAUAUUAUUUUGCAAUAAAGAGAAAAUAUAUAUAUAUAUAUAUAUAACAAACUUUUAUUAUUCGAAAAACGUUUUAUUUCAAAGACUCUUUCAAAUAAUAAAAAAGAAAAUAUAUUCUAAAUUCCUAAAGUUUCACCGAUCAUAGUUUCAAUAUAGUUCCAUAAAAGAAACUCGAAGAAAGUAGAAAUAGGGGAUGUUUUGAUGUGAUUUCCGAAAUUUGAAUUCUAUUCACCCUAUCGUGAAGAUGGAAAGUUCUAACAUUAAACUUUGAACCGACUAUGUGUAUGUAUGCAUAUCAUUACCACUCGUGAAAAAAUUUUUUCAAACUUUACAAGAUACAUGUAUGUAUCCUAGUUGGAAUGAAAAGAAAUAAAUAAAAAUUCUUUCACUUUUUUCUAAUAUUUAGUUCUAACAAUAAACUUAUUUAAAAAAAUUUUUAACAUUUUUCAAAUACGCGGAGAGUAACAAUAUUAAUUACAUAUUAAUCACAUAUGAUCAUUUCAAAAAGUCAAAACACAAAAAUUGAUAUAAAGAAAUGUUAAUAAAGAAGUGUUAUUAUAAGAAGAAUUAAAGUUUAUCAUAUUAAGUUAUAAGCAUUUUAAAUUUGUCUUAGAUGAAGAAAAAUCAAAACAGAGCAAGUGUGUGAGAAAGACAAAGCUGUCUUUAACAAGACCAUUAUUAUAAACUUUUCUAAUGAAUUUUUUUAAUCUUCUUUUUAAUUUUUUAAUUUUUCCAUUCAAAAAUAUUUGAAUCCAAUUGCGAAUUCAAAUAUCCCAUUUGCAAUUAUUAACAAUUAUCAAAAUAAUUAUAGAAAUUGAAACUAAAGAAUAAUAUGUACAAUGAGAAAAAUAUUUUUCCCAUCUAAUAGAAGAAAAUUUAGAUCAGAGAAAAGAAAAUAAAUAAUUUGAAAUAGGAAAUAAAGAAAAAUAACUCACAUCAGAAUCUUUUCCUUCUUUUCCUUUCUUUUUUUUUUUUAUUAAAAUUCUUUAUUUUCUGUGUUUCGUAGCAUUCUCCUAAAUGAUAAUUGAACGUAACUUAAUGGAAAAUCCGCGGUGUAUCAAGGAAAAAAGGACAGAGAUAGAAGGAAAAGAGAAAAAUAUACUAGAAAUAUCGAAAUAUCGUUCACUUAAAUCGGCAAAAUAGUACAUAUGUGGCGGUGUACUUUGUUUCUCGUUCCUUUUAAGACACGUGAAAUCAUCUUAAGAUUAUAGAUUUUAUAGAUUAACGAUCGAAUGAAGCAAACCAAUCGAUCAACCGAUUCGACUGGUGUUUGGUUCAUUAAUUGGAUAAAGGUACAGAGGCAGAUACAGUGGACAGGGGUAAAGUCGUAUUUAUAAGUUUUUAUAUCCAAAGAACGUCGUUCACAUGAAAAAUCAUCGAUCAAUAUUUAUUAAAGGCAUUGGAAUUUUAAGGAAAAUUAAUAAAAAUAAAAAGAAAAAAAGAAAAUAUCAUUCUCGAUGCCGUUUUCGAUACGAACAACGCUCUUUCUCGUUAAAGCCUUUGUCAAAAAGUACAAUGCUCGUGAAUUAAGUGACGUUAUAUAUAUAUAUAUAUAUGUAAUAAACAGUACAGAAGAUUUAUAUACUCGUAACCGGUGAUUAAAUAAUAAUCAAAAACAACAGUUACAACAAAAUUAUAAUAAUCAUUAUAAACCGUGGCGAUUAGUCGCAUGAUAUGAACGAUUCCUUCGUGUGAUUUAAAUGCAUAAUUUAUAACAACAAUAACUGUUUAAUCCUCUUAUUUGAUUAUACAUCAUAUAAAGAGAUUGCAUAUAUUGUACAAUCUCGUGCAAUAUUCUGUUUGUAAGAUCAUCUGUUUUUUUCACUGGAAAAUAUUCCAUAAAUGAAGAAAAGAAAAAAAAUAUAAAGAAGAGUGAAGGAUACCACGUUCAGAACGGCAUUGGAAUUGUUCGAAAGCAAAGGAGAACUUAAAAAAAUCUAAUAACAAAUUCUACUAUUUUUGCCACAAAUACAUUUGAAAAUUAAAUAUAUUUACGUUCGUAAAUCCUGUCAUUUUUUAAUCAGGAAUACCGCUUUAUAUUUUAAAUUAAGUGAAAAAAAUAUAUUUAAUACGAUACAGGCCGAUCAUUUUGUGUUGCGUUACUCGUUAAUAUCAAUUGAAUAAUAUAAAAUAAAAUAUAUUAACAACAAUAAUUCUUAAGAAUGGAAGAAGGAACGCAAAAAGAAUUUUAAGCAGUCUUCGAAUCGAGAGUUCAUUGUAAAAUCAUUAUGAAAAGUUAAAAAUCCAUUAAGCAUAUUGCAAAUACAAAAAUUACACUCGUUACCUAAAAAGAAAAUUUCUUAUUUUAAUUGAUUCGAUAAACAUUAAACUUUUUUUUUACACCGUUUUUCGUUUAAACUUUUAGAAACUCGUUUUUUUCUUUUUUUCUUUUACAUAAGUAUUUACCAAAAGGACAUUCAUCUUCAAUCAAAGAAAAACAAUAUAUUUCCUUUUUGAAAAUCAUAUUAUAAUAUCGAUGCAAGAGUGAGGAGAAUUUUGUCAAAUAAGAAAAAUCGAAACUCAAAAAAAAUAUAUAUAUUUUUUUUUAUCUCUUAUAAAAUUCUCAUUAUCUCAUUAUAUUAAUUAUUAUCCAUAUUUUAUAAUUUUGUAAAUUAUCAUUUCGAUCGAAUAUUUUUACAAAACAUAAAAUAAAGAAAUUAAAACUUUGAUUUGAAAAUUCGUAGAAGUUUUAUUGAAUACGCAUAUACUUUAUUUAAUAUUAAUAUUAAUUGGAUAAAAAAUACUUGUUCUAUGCCAGUGCUUUUUUUUUACAAAAAUUCCCAUUACUUUUGCAUCUAUGAAGAUCUUCGUUUUAUUUAACAGCUAUGAAAAAUUAGCAUCGAUUUGAUAUAAACCAUUAAAUAUAAUCCGCUUUCGAUUGAUCUUAUUACGUCAAUAUUUCAUUAGCACUUUUUUUUCUCCUUUUUAAAUUUUUUAGAACGUCGAAUGAAUUAAAAAGAAGAGAUAAUAAUAAUCGAGAUAAUCGUUGUUAUAAUAAUAAUAAGAAAAAAACGUAAGAACGUUUAAUUUUUAAAAACGGUACUACUAACGAUAUUUGUAGCAAAAAUAUACAGGCCACGUGGCUGCUUACAAUAUACGCUUCGCAAAUUCUUAAAAGGAAAGAAAACUUAACAAACGCGAGAGAAAUGAAAUUAUUUUUCUUUUUUUAUGUUUUUUUCGACAAAGAACAUAACGGUUAACGUCGUCAAAACAACCAUCACUCAAUGUCAGUCAGGCGCGGCUGUACAAAUCAUUGAUAUCCACUGACAAUGAGUUCAUUGAUUGUACACCUAUACUUAAGAAUCUAGAUUUUAUUACGAAACUGCUCGCACGAAUUUCACAAACAAUUUUUCUUUUUUUUCUUUUUCCUUUAAUUACACCACGAAAAAAGAAACUAUUGACCCAUGCUACUCCGCUCGAUUAUUCCAAUAAUAAUUAUAUUUACGGAUGCAUCGUACAUGCGUUAUUGCCAAUAACAUAUGUACCGCUUCAUCUUCGUACUGUUGUUUCCUGAACAAUCUCACAGAGAUAUACUGAGAUAUUUCCCAUUCGGUGUGUCAAGUCAAGAAAUUACUUAUAAUAUUAAAUAUACGAUAAGCUAAAGAAUAUUCUUCAUUGAAAUUCAUAUAUGAUUCAAAUUCUUCGAAUUUUCCAAUUUUUCUAACUUUUCCGAGACACAACAGCGCAGUGGUCGAACGAAUGUUUCGCCGUUCAAACGUGUUUUACCGACUGAUUGAUAAAAAUUUGCAUAUAUACAACGUACGAAGAUGAAACACAAGGAACGGAAUAUGUAUAUUUAUAUACACGAAUCGGGGAGCAUGUGUUAUGAAUGCAUAAUAUGCAAACAUAUCAGUGUGUAUUUAUAUAAUAUGAAAUGUGUUUUAUGUGCACGUAUUUUCGUUUGAAUGUAAUUUUGUGUGUGUAUGUUCGCGCGCGCGUAUAGAUAGGUAGAUAGGUAAAUAAGUACAGGUGGGUGGGUAGAUGGGUAGGUAGGUAGGUAGGUAGGUAGAUAAGUAGAUAGGUAAGUAGGUAGGUAGGUAGGUAGGUAAGUAGGUACGUAGAUAGAUAGAUAGGUAGAUAGGUAGGUAGAUAGGUAGGUAAGUAGGUAAAUAGGUAGGUACGUGUGUGCGUGUGUGUGUGUAUGUGUGUAUGUAUGUAUGUAUGUAUGUAUGUACGAAACAUGUUGCAUAGACGUUCUGGGAGUGGAAUUAAGAUAUCUCGAGGAUAUGAAAGCAAUCGUUUUAAAAAUGUAGAAAUUCGCUUGUUAAUAAACAUAUACGCAAUAAUUUGGCCAUCGAUUUUGCCAUACAGCGACGAUAAUUUAUGACUACUAUCGUAACUAGGGAUGAAGUCAUUGUGAAAAAGAACCGGAAGUCCAUAAUUGUCUGUUUCUUUUAUAGACAAGGGAACGAUACUUGUUCAGUUAGAAGAAAACGUUUUCACGAAGAAAGACGCACGAGGAUAGCAUAGUCUCAUAAAUUUCAAAUACAUGUGCACAAUAAUACAUGUGUAUAUAAUUUUUUUUUUU